rnacentral:rRNA from 1 species
ACACUAUCAUUAACUGAAUCCAUAGGUUAAUGAGGCGAACCGGGGGAACUGAAACAUCUAAGUACCCCGAGGAAAAGAAAUCAACCGAGAUUCCCCCAGUAGCGGCGAGCGAACGGGGAGCAGCCCAGAGCCUGAAUCAGUAUGUGUGUUAGUGGAAGCGUCUGGAAAGGCGCGCGAUACAGGGUGACAGCCCCGUACACAAAAAUGCACAUGCUGUGAGCUCGAUGAGUAGGGCGGGACACGUGGUAUCCUGUCUGAAUAUGGGGGGACCAUCCUCCAAGGCUAAAUACUCCUGACUGACCGAUAGUGAACCAGUACCGUGAGGGAAAGGCGAAAAGAACCCCGGCGAGGGGAGUGAAAAAGAACCUGAAACCGUGUACGUACAAGCAGUGGGAGCACGCUUAGGCGUGUGACUGCGUACCUUUUGUAUAAUGGGUCAGCGACUUAUAUUCUGUAGCAAGGUUAACCGAAUAGGGGAGCCGAAGGGAAACCGAGUCUUAACUGGGCGUUAAGUUGCAGGGUAUAGACCCGAAACCCGGUGAUCUAGCCAUGGGCAGGUUGAAGGUUGGGUAACACUAACUGGAGGACCGAACCGACUAAUGUUGAAAAAUUAGCGGAUGACUUGUGGCUGGGGGUGAAAGGCCAAUCAAACCGGGAGAUAGCUGGUUCUCCCCGAAAGCUAUUUAGGUAGCGCCUCGUGAAUUCAUCUCCGGGGGUAGAGCACUGUUUCGGCAAGGGGGUCAUCCCGACUUACCAACCCGAUGCAAACUGCGAAUACCGGAGAAUGUUAUCACGGGAGACACACGGCGGGUGCUAACGUCCGUCGUGAAGAGGGAAACAACCCAGACCGCCAGCUAAGGUCCCAAAGUCAUGGUUAAGUGGGAAACGAUGUGGGAAGGCCCAGACAGCCAGGAUGUUGGCUUAGAAGCAGCCAUCAUUUAAAGAAAGCGUAAUAGCUCACUGGUCGAGUCGGCCUGCGCGGAAGAUGUAACGGGGCUAAACCAUGCACCGAAGCUGCGGCAGCGACGCUGAUGCGUUGUUGGGUAGGGGAGCGUUCUGUAAGCCUGYGAAGGUGUGCUGUGAGGCAUGCUGGAGGUAUCAGAAGUGCGAAUGCUGACAUAAGUAACGAUAAAGCGGGUGAAAAGCCCGCUCGCCGGAAGACCAAGGGUUCCUGUCCAACGUUAAUCGGGGCAGGGUGAGUCGACCCCUAAGGCGAGGCCGAAAGGCGUAGUCGAUGGGAAACAGGUUAAUAUUCCUGUACUUGGUGUUACUGCGAAGGGGGGACGGAGAAGGCUAUGUUGGCCGGGCGACGGUUGUCCCGGUUUAAGCGUGUAGGCUGGUUUUCCAGGCAAAUCCGGAAAAUCAAGGCUGAGGCGUGAUGACGAGGCACUACRGUGCUGAAGCAACAAAUGCCCUGCUUCCAGGAAAAGCCUCUAAGCAUCAGGUAACAUCAAAUCGUACCCCAAACCGACACAGGUGGUCAGGUAGAGAAUACCAAGGCGCUUGAGAGAACUCGGGUGAAGGAACUAGGCAAAAUGGUGCCGUAACUUCGGGAGAAGGCACGCUGAUAUGUAGGUGAAGUCCCUCGCGGAUGGAGCUGAAAUCAGUCGAAGAUACCAGCUGGCUGCAACUGUUUAUUAAAAACACAGCACUGUGCAAACACGAAAGUGGACGUAUACGGUGUGACGCCUGCCCGGUGCCGGAAGGUUAAUUGAUGGGGUUAGCGCAAGCGAAGCUCUUGAUCGAAGCCCCGGUAAACGGCGGCCGUAACUAUAACGGUCCUAAGGUAGCGAAAUUCCUUGUCGGGUAAGUUCCGACCUGCACGAAUGGCGUAAUGAUGGCCAGGCUGUCUCCACCCGAGACUCAGUGAAAUUGAACUCGCUGUGAAGAUGCAGUGUACCCGCGGCAAGACGGAAAGACCCCGUGAACCUUUACUAUAGCUUGACACUGAACAUUGAGCCUUGAUGUGUAGGAUAGGUGGGAGGCUUUGAAGUGUGGACGCCAGUCUGCAUGGAGCCGACCUUGAAAUACCACCCUUUAAUGUUUGAUGUUCUAACGUUGACCCGUAAUCCGGGUUGCGGACAGUGUCUGGUGGGUAGUUUGACUGGGGCGGUCUCCUCCUAAAGAGUAACGGAGGAGCACGAAGGUUGGCUAAUCCUGGUCGGACAUCAGGAGGUUAGUGCAAUGGCAUAAGCCAGCUUGACUGCGAGCGUGACGGCGCGAGCAGGUGCGAAAGCAGGUCAUAGUGAUCCGGUGGUUCUGAAUGGAAGGGCCAUCGCUCAACGGAUAAAAGGUACUCCGGGGAUAACAGGCUGAUACCGCCCAAGAGUUCAUAUCGACGGCGGUGUUUGGCACCUCGAUGUCGGCUCAUCACAUCCUGGGGCUGAAGUAGGUCCCAAGGGUAUGGCUGUUCGCCAUUUAAAGUGGUACGCGAGCUGGGUUUAGAACGUCGUGAGACAGUUCGGUCCCUAUCUGCCGUGGGCGCUGGAGAACUGAGGGGGGCUGCUCCUAGUACGAGAGGACCGGAGUGGACGCAUCACUGGUGUUCGGGUUGUCAUGCCAAUGGCACUGCCCGGUAGCUAAAUGCGGAAGAGAUAAGUGCUGAAAGCAUCUAAGCACGAAACUUGCCCCGAGAUGAGUUCUCCCUGACUCCUUGAGAGUCCUGAAGGAACGUUGAAGACGACGACGUUGAUAGGCCGGGUGUGUAAGCGCAGCGAUGCGUUGAGCUAACCGGUACUAAUGAACCGUGAGGCUUAACC